rnacentral:rRNA from 1 species
UGCGUCGACCACUGCCCCAUGCUCCAGAAUAGCUCUUGGAAACGGGUGGUAAUGCUGGAUGCUCCAACUUGACGCAUGUCUUGUUGGGAAAGUGUUUAGUGGCAUGGGAUGGGGUCGCGUCCUAUCAGCUUGUAGGCGGGGUAAUGGCCCACCUAGGCUUCGACGGGUAGCCGGCCUGAGAGGGCGGACGGCCACAUUGGGACUGAGAUACGGCCCAGACUCCUACGGGAGGCAGCAGGC